rnacentral:rRNA from 1 species
UACGUAGGGCGCAAGCGUUGUCCGGAAUUAUUGGGCGUAAAGAGCUCGUAGGCGGUUUGUCGCGUCUGCUGUGAAAACCUAAGGCUCAACCUUGGGCUUGCAGUGGGUACGGGCAGACUAGAGUGCGGUAGGGGUGACUGGAAUUCCUGGUGUAGCGGUGGAAUGCGCAGAUAUCAGGAGGAACACCGAGUGGCGAAGGCAG